rnacentral:rRNA from 1 species
AUCUACGUUCACUGCUAGAAGAUCAUAGGGUAUCCCGUCCGCUCUGCCUUACUCAAGCUUCUAAGCGGGCAUUUAGUAGUAUAGUGGGUGACCAUAUGCGAAUAGUGCCUAACGUAGAUA